rnacentral:rRNA from 1 species
GAUGAACGCUGGCGGCGUGCCUAAUACAUGCAAGUCGAGCGAACGGACGAGAAGCUUGCUUUUCUGAUGUUAGCGGCGGACGUGUGAGUAACACGUGGAUAACCUCCCUAUAAGACUGGGAUAACUUCGGGAAACCGGAGCUAAUACCGGAUAAUAUUUUGAACCGCAUGGUUCAAUAGUGAAAGACGGUCUUGCUGUCACUUAUAGAUGGAUCCGCGCUGCAUUAGCUAGUUGGUAAGGUAACGGCUUACCAAGGCAACGAUGCAUAGCCGACCUGAGAGGGUGAUCGGCGACACUGGAACUGAGACACGGACCAGACUACUGCGAGAGGCACCAGUAGGGAAUCUUCCGCAAUGGGCGAAAGCCUGACGGAGCAACGCCGCGUGAGUGAUGAAGGUCUUCGGAUCGUAAAACUCUGUUAUUAGGGAAGAACAUAUGUGUAAGUAACUGUGCACAUCUUGACGGUACCUAAUCAGAAAGCCACGGCUAACUACGUG